GCAAGGUUAAAACUCAAAUGAAUUGACGGGGGCCCGCACAAGCGGUGGAGCAUGUGGUUUAAUUCGAUGCAACGCGAAGAACCUUACCUGGUCUUGACAUCCACAGAACUUUCCAGAGAUGGAUUGGUGCCUUCGGGAACUGUGAGACAGGUGCUGCAUGGCUGUCGUCAGCUCGUGUUGUGAAAUGUUGGGUUAAGUCCCGCAACGAGCGCAACCCUUAUCCUUUGUUGCCAGCGGUCCGGCCGGGAACUCAAAGGAGACUGCCAGUGAUAAACUGGAGGAAGGUGGGGAUGACGUCAAGUCAUCAUGGCCCUUACGACCAGGGCUACACACGUGCUACAAUGGCGCAUACAAAGAGAAGCGACCUCGCGAGAGCAAGCGGACCUCAUAAAGUGCGUCGUAGUCCGGAUUGGAGUCUGCAACUCGACUCCAUGAAGUCGGAAUCGCUAGUAAUCGUGGAUCAGAAUGCCACGGUGAAUACGUUCCCGGGCCUUGUACACACCGCCCGUCACACCAUGGGAGUGGGUUGCAAAAGAAGUAGGUAGCUUAACCUUCGGGAGGGCGCUUACCACUUUGUGAUUCAUGACUGGGGUGAAGUCGUAACAAGGUAACCGUAGGGGAACCUGCGGUUGGAUCACCUCCUU
rnacentral:rRNA from 1 species